rnacentral:sRNA from 1 species
GCUUUACCAGUUUCGAUUAGGAGAUGAAAAACUGCAGGCUCCAAUGGCUUUGUUUUACCCCGCAACUUUUGGAAUUGUUGGACAGAAAAUGACGACUUUGCAGCACAGAUCUCAGGGCGAUCCUGAGGAUCCUCACGAUGAACAUUACCUGCUGGCCACACAGAGCAAACAAGAACAGUCUGCAAAAGCUACUGCUGACCGAAAGUCUGCAUCCAAACCUAUUGGAUUUGAAGGGGAUCUUCGUGGCCAGUCCUCUGAUCUUCCAGAAAGACUCCAUUCCCAGGAGGUAGAUUUGGGGUCCGCACAGGGAGAUGGCCUGAUGGCCGGCAACGAUUCCGAGGAGGCCCUCACUGCACUGAUGUCCAGGAAGACUGCCAUCUCGCUGUUUGAAGGGAAAGCCCUGGGCCUGGAUAAAGCCAUCCUCCAUAGCAUAGACUGCUGUUGUAAGCACAUCUGGGGAGACCGGGAGAUAGCAGUGAAACAAGAUAGCAGUUAAAUAAAUUGGUUCAGUCUAGGA